CCAAAGUCAGGUGUAAGAGCACCAUUAACGGGGUCUUUUAAGCCCGUCUCUUAGUGUUUUUAGAAUUAAAAAAAAAAGAAAAAUAGCAAUUACUUGAAACUACGUCUCUUAAUCAAGCAAAAGAAGAGACGUCUCUUCUCGCUCUCUCUAUCGUGAAGAAGGAAGAAAGAAGAAGAAGCCAUGGCAGGAGUAGGACUUUUCUGGUGUAAUCUCUUCAUCUCCUUUCCUCUGUAAAUCCUCCCAGAUGUUGAUGAUUUCUACUCUCAAUGCGAUCCGGAGAAGGAGAAUUUGUGUUUGUGUGGACAUCCGAAUGAGUCGUGGGAAGUGAAUCUACGGGCGGAGGAAGACGGUCGCGAAAUCUCUGUGUUUCCGAAACGAAGACAGCCGCUCCCUCCUCCUUGUCUCAGCUUCGUUCGGUCAUUCGCAGAUAGUGAAGUUGCUAUCAAGUGUAGAUGAAUCAAAGACUGUAAUCAAUAGUAAGGAUGAUGAAGGAUGGGCUCCUCUACAUUCUGCUGCUAGCAUAGGCAAUGCGGAGCUCGUUGAAAUCUUAUUGACUAGAGGUGCUGAUGUGAAUGUCAAAAAACAAUGGUGGUGGCACUGCUCUUCAUUAUGCUGCUAGCAAGGGAUGGUUGGAAAUCGCUCAGCUUUAUUUUAAAUCAGAUGAACGUGUGCCUACUGAGUUGAAGAAAGCAAUCAUGCAAGCCCGAGGGGAGAAGAAGCUCACCCAUUCAAACUCGCUCAAGUACACUACUUCUCUCUUCACUCGGUCUCUUUUUUCUGAGUUUAAUAGUAUCCAUUGGUCUUAUAUACUCUAAAACGAGAAAUCAUGCUCCUCCCUGAU